rnacentral:rRNA from 1 species
UACGGAGGGUGCAAGCGUUAUCCGGAUUUACUGGGUUUAAAGGGUGCGUAGGUGGGUUGGUAAGUCAGUGGUGAAAUCUUCGAGCUUAACUCGGAAACUGCCAUUGAUACUAUUAAUCUUGAAUUAUCUGGAGGUAAGCGGAAUAUGUCAUGUAGCGGUGAAAUGCUUAGAUAUGACAUAGAACGCCCAUUGCGAAGGCAGCUUACUACGGAUACAUUGACACUGAGGCACGAAAGCGUGGGGAUCAAACAGG